UAAAAGGAUAGCCAUACAUGUAGAAAAAUUCAUUGGAAAAGUGUAGAUGACUUAGUUCUUAGGAACAUCUUAGUCUUAAUUCUUUCAUGAAAUUGGAUAACGUCAUUACCUCGCAUGAUUACUGAGCAUUUCUGACACUCGUAUUACCGACGUCACACCUUCUUACACAGACAUGUAUAAAUACAUGCUGAUUGCUGAUGGUGUAGACCUCGUGUGAUACCAUAAUUGAAAGAACACCUGUACUUGCUGACUCAGAGAUAGAACACAAAAGUGUGAAAAUGGACACAAAGAAUAUCAAGUUUGGAUUAACAAUCGUAAUACUUCUGCUCGUUUUGCGUGAAAUUGAUAACAAGUCUUUAAAGAUACCUGGUAGUCAACCAAUAAAAGUCAGAGAAACAAAAACAAUUAAACUUUGUGGAACCAUUAAAACAUUUAGAUAUGAAAUUUAUCGCUGUAAAGGAACAUGUACACUAUCCAGUGGUUCUUAUGGUUGCUGGGAACGAAAAGAUGGAAAAGUUCACAGACUUAAGUUUCGAGGUUGUAAUGAAAACAUGGUAUAAUUGAAGACAUAACAUGCACAUGUACAACAUGUAAGAAGGUAUGAAUAGUCUGUUUCAAGAAAAGUUGAUGGCGAAUUUCUUCCUUAUCAUCAAACAAGUUUUUGUGGAACAGAAGAAUGCGUCAGGAAUGCCGAAACAUUACCUUUCAAAAACAUUUCCUUUGUUAAUGACUUUUAACCUCGACACCACAAUGAAACAUUGUUUGAAAUUGAAAAUUGAUUUACAAUCCACUCGACCAUAGUGAAUUGGAAAGAACAAAAGUACACUGAUUUAAACUUAAUGUAGAAAUGAAAUGCUUUCAUAAACAAUGGCCUUAUUUUUAAGUCACGCAGCCUUCCGACGAAUGACUCUUAUUUAACUUAUAAAAGAAAUCGAGUACAACAAAAUGUCUGAACAAAAAUAACAUGACGUAUAGAAAUUAACUUAUAGUAAUUAUUUAUUGUAGUUAAGUUAUGAAAUAUUUAAGUCAGAAUAGUGACGUGUAUUUUUUAGAACGUGAGACUAAAUAUAAAGUUCAAGAUCAUUCUGAUAA